GAAAUCAAAUAAAGGAAAAUUAACACAAAACUAUUGAAAUAAUUAGUAAAAUAAACAAAAAUACUCUUUCUGUGCACUUUACUAGAGGCUUAUUUAUAAUUAUUAAAUCACCGUAAUUAAAAAAUGAGUUAAAUGGUAAUUUACAUAAUUCAAGGUCAAGGUUACUUGUGCUUACAUUGCUAUGAACGCAAUGUAUUAAUCACUAUUUUAUCGAAAAAUCGGGUCUUGUCACGUCUAUUUAUAGCAUCAGUCGGUAAAACUGUGUCAAAAAGUUGUGUUUUAUUGUUGAGUUCUUAGGUUAGAAUUCAGGGUUUCCCAUGGACGAGGACGAAGUCAAUGACGAGAUUUUGGGCAUCCAUGGUUACAUUUCUGAGGGGGACAGUGAUGAUGGGGGAAAAACCGAACUCGAUGAUUUCUAUUAUUAUCACAAGCCCCCACCGAUUGAUAUUGACCCAAAUAAACACAACAUAAUCACAGGUGGAGUAACAAAAAUACCAAAAAAUCAAUUGAAAAGAUUAAGGAAGAAGUUUGCUGAUGAUGAGACGAAUGACAGUAGUGAUUUUAGUCAAGUUGGUACCAGUGAUUCACAAUUUUUGACAAAAAGUCAGAAAAAAAGGUUGCGAAGGAGGAAAAAUGUGACUUCGGACUCUACUCUUCCUUGUAAUCACUUAAAAAACGAACAAGAAAAUCAUGAUGAGAAGAAUGAAAGCAGUAAUGUGAGUGAGGUUGGCACUCCUGAUUCACGAUUGACAAAAAGGCAGAGAAAAAAUUUGAGAAUAAAGAAAAAAUUGUCUUGUUCAGAGUCUUCUCAUCGUUGUGGUCAAAAUGUUACACAAUUGGAAGAAGAAGAAAAUCCUGAUGAUGUUGCGACGAAACGUAGCAUCCCGGAAGGUUGUUUUCUCUUAAAUUCUUGCCUUUACCUUGUCUAUUAUUUCGAGUAACGUUUCGCUUGUUUAGAAAAAUCCCUAAAUGGUGAUGUUACCACAAUUUGAGACUAAAAACCCCCAAAAACAGACUUUUUGUUAUAUUUUAGUAGAACCAAAUUUGAACUUGUUACAAGAGGAUUUAAGCGAAUCAAAUUUUCAAGUGGAAAAAGUUCAAUUUGAGAACAAUAAACCGAAGAAAGGGAGAAGUUUGAUAGACUUGUCCUUAUUGUGGCUUCGAAAUUCUUGC